rnacentral:tRNA from 1 species
UCCCUGGUGGCUCAGAGGGUAAAGCAUCUGCCUGAAAUUCAGGAGACUUGGGUUUGAUCCCUGGUUUGGGAA